CGAGCAGUUACCCAUUUUAACCAAAAAAAGCAAUACCGCCGCGGCAGCGAGAGCGUCUUGAGAGCUUGGCAGGAAAUAGCUGAACAAGUCAAUGCCAAAUCGAAAAAAUGCAGAGGCCCGGCAGACUGGAGGGGGUCCACCACCUGCAGCCCUCACAGAGGCUGAGGAGAUGGCCCUCAGCCAACAGAGUAUGCGUCCUGUGGCUGAGGGCAUCCCUGGGGGGAGCUCCUCUGAACCCCCCCCCCCCAGGAUAGAAGUGCCUUUACAGUAUAAGAGUUACUGAUGGCGUCAUCGCCCUACUUGAACCAGAUGCCCUCACCAACCUCCAUGCAAUUGUAACAAUUCAAAAGAUGCAAAAGGAUGCUUUGGAGAUCCAAAUUUUGGAACAUAAGUUAUAGGUGGGUGAGGUGCAAACUGGGAUAGGCUACUGUUCCCUGCUCUAAAAACAUACCCAAUAUAAAUGAAUUUUUUUUUUUGUGCUUUCAGGAAAUAAAAAAAUCCUCAUAAUAAGUAGAUUGUCUUUAUUAGAACACGGGCUGUGGUGGGACAAGUUAUUUUGUUGAACAGUUUACUCAAAGGGUUUUACUUCAGUGAACAAUGCAGACGAUUAUGCUGAGCAUGUGCAUGUAGAGA
ensembl:lncRNA